UACGUAGGGUGUAAGCGUUGUCCGGAAUUAUUGGGCGUAAAGGGCGCGUAGGCGGCCUUGCAAGUCAAAGGUGAAAUCCCUCGGCUCAACUGAGGAACUGCCUUUGAAACUGCAUGGCUUGAGGCCGGGAGGGGGUAGCGGAAUUCCCAGUGUAGCGGUGAAAUGCGUAGAUAUUGGGAGGAACACCAGUGGCGAAGGCGGCUACCUGGACCGGUUCUGACGCUGAUGCGCGAAAGCGUGGGUAGCAAACAGG
rnacentral:rRNA from 1 species